CAACAACCAAGGAACCAGAAGAAAACUAAAAAGGCAUCUAAAAAAUAAGAAUAAAUCAGUGCUGAAUAAACUGAAGAGUCCAUAUUGCAUACUAACUCCACUAAGGAAUAUUUACUCAACCACUUGGCUCAGACCAGGCUGUCACAGAUCCAGAGAGAGACCACCGAGGUUUACACUAGGAAGGGGAGAACACAUAUCUUCCUCCUUGCCUGAAUGCAAAUAUAGCUUCAGAGGCCCAGAAGGGGCUCAGCAGAGAAAGAGAGAAGCCAGAGUUGGCAGCGAAUGUAACUUGUAUUCACUUAUCCGAAGAGACACACCUCUACAGGAUCUCCACGGCAGGUUCCUCUGCUCUACUUGUACAGAGGCACAGGAAAGCGGUGUUUGCCACCCUUCUUGAGCAGCAUUCAGCAAGGGUGGGAGUAAAGGAAGCAUUCUCCUUUCGGUGUUGAAGGAGAGUCAAACAGGAGCAAGAAAUGGACACUCAGGGGAUAUGCACUUUGUAUCCUCUCAAAGAAAUAAAUCAUGGUUUAAACAGAAAGCCAAAUAAAAUACAUCCUGCUGAUUGACCUUUCAUUACUGAAUUAAAGUCCCAUUUUUCUCUCCAUAAAUAUCUUCGUUUGAUAAAGUCAUAGCACCUAUCAUACUUCCUGUGUUUCUUUGAUUCUCUUCCAAAAUGUUGAACACAGCAAAAAUGGAAAUAUUUUACAAAGACAGUAUCAUGAGAGAAACUUCUAACUUUGAGUGGAUGUCUUUGAGAAUAUUUAAGAAAACACUUGAAAAUCUCUAGAAAUUAUUUAAAGAAUCUCAAAGUGAUCAUUUGUAACAGGGUUCUCAACCUUCUUAAUCACAAGGGGAUUUUUCAAAGUUUGUAGAAAAUGGAAUUAAAAUAUAAAAUUUAAAGACAUAAACUUCAUCUCUCAAAAAAACUCCAUCAAGGUCAAGACACUUUUGUAAGUGACGAUAUUAGGCAUUUUAGUCCACACCUAAAGAACUGACAGUUCUGAGAAUUUAACCACGUAGUAUUUCUUUUUUUCUUUACAUUAUUAAGUGAAGGAAAUAAGUGCCCUUUACAGACUUUUUAAGAUUAGAAAACAAAAAGUAAUCAGAAAUAGCCAAAUCAGGACUGGAACAUGGAUAUCUAAUGAUUUCCCCCUCAAAACUCUUGCUUGAUGAGAGGAAUUAGCAGGAGCAUUGUCAUGCUGGAGAAGGACUCUUUGGUGAAGAUUUUUCUGGGCAUUUUUCUGCUAAAGCUUUGGCUGCUUUUCUCAAAACACUCUUUAAUACACAGAUCUUAUUGUUCUUUGGCCCUCUAGAAAGUCAACAAGCAAAAUGCCCCGAAAAAACCGUUGCCAUGACCUUUGCUCUUGACCAAUUUGCUUUUGCUUUGACUGGACCACUUCCACCUCUUGGCAGCCAUUCCUCUGAUUGUGCUUUGUCUUCAGGAUUGUGCUGGUAAAGCCAUGUUCCAUCUCCUGUUACAAUUCUUCAAAGAAAUGCUUUGGGAUCUUGACCUCACUUAUUUAAAAUUUUCAUUGAAAACU
rnacentral:lncRNA from 1 species